rnacentral:lncRNA from 1 species
GGGUUCAGUUUCUCCGCUCUCGAAGAGCGAAACUGAGAAUCGAAACUGCGCUGGAUUCCAUGCAGCAGGAUCCGGAACCUGCCGGAUCUCCGGGGCCCCAGCAGGACCCCGCACUGCCCCACUCCCCCAGCAUGCCUCCCCCGGAGGCACUCUCCGAAGGCCACCAGUCCAGCCAUAGCGACAGCCCCACAGAGCAAGCCACGGAGGAAGAGUUCCAGUUCUUGCGCUGCCAGGGCUGCCGGGCAGAAGCUAAGUGCCCCAAGCUGCUGCCUUGUCUGCAUACGCUGUGCUCAGGAUGCCUGGAGGAGUCCGGCAUACAGUGCCCCGUCUGCCAGGCUCCCUGGCCCUCAGGUGCCGGCGCGCAGGCCCUGGACAACGUCUUCUUCGAGAGCCUGCAGCGGCGGCUGUCGGUGUACCAGCAGAUCGCACGCGAGCAGGCGUUUUGCACCCGCUGCAAAGAGCUGGCCCACUACUGGUGCUUCGAGUGUGAGCAGCUCAUCUGCGCCAAGUGCUUCGAGGCGCACCAGUGGUUCCUCAAGCACGAGGCCCGGCCGCUGGCGGAGCUCCGCAGCCAGUCGGUGCGGGAGUUUCUGGACGGCACCCGCAAGUCCAACAACAUCUUCUGCUCCAACCCCAACCACCGCAGCCCUAUGCUGACCAGCAUCUACUGCCGAGGCUGCUCCAAGCCCUUGUGCUGCUCGUGCGCUCUCCUGGAUAGGGACCACGGCGAGCUCAAGUGCGACAUCAGCAUGGAGAUCCAGCAGCGGCAGGAUGAGCUGGACACCAUGACCCAGGACCUGCAGGAGCAGGACCGCAGCUUCGGGGCAGCGCAGGCGCAGAUGCGCUCUGCCAUCAGCCAGCUGGGCCGUGUACGCGCCGACACUGAGGAGUUCAUCCGUGAGCGCGUGCGCGAGGUGGUAGCGCACGUGCUAGAGCAGGAGCGUGAGCUGCUGGAAGGCGUGGGUGCGCGGUACCAGCGCGACUAUGAAGAGAUAGCGGGCCAGCUGGGCCGGCUGGAUGCUGUACUGCAGCGGAUCCGUAUGGGCAGCGUGCUGGUGCAGAGGAUGAAACUAUACGCCUCGGAUCAGGAGGUGCUGGACAUGCAUGACUUCCUGCGCAAGGCACUCCACCAGCUGCGCCAAGAGGAGCCCCAGAGUCUGCGAGCCACUGUGCACACAGACAGCUUCAACGAAUUCAGGGUGCGCCUGCAGGGCCUCGUCUCUUGCAUCACCCAGGGUAGAGAUGCAGCUCUAUCCAGGAGAGCCAGCCCAGAAGCUGCCAGCACUCCCAGAGACACUUGUGGCCCUGACCCGCCAGAGGAGGUGCCGAGGGACCAGAUGCAAGCCGCGGGAUUGGCCGUGGUACAGCCGGUGCCAGGGGCACACCCUGUGCCAGUGUACGCCUUCUCCAUCCAAGACCCCUCCCGCAGAGAAGAGGGCACCCACACGCAGAAGAGGAAGGCCUGCCAGACCGAGUGCCCCCGGAAGGUCAUCAAGAUGGAGUCUGAGGAGGGGGAAGAGUCUAGGUUGGCUCAGAGCUCCCCUGAGCAGCCCAGGCCCAGCACCUCCAGGGCAGUCUCGCCACCCCACCUGGAUGGGCCCUCCAGCCCCAAGAGCCCCAUCAUAAGAGAUGAGCUCCCCUUGCCUGAAAGCAACCAUCAAACCGGCGACCCUGCAGAGACAGAGGAGCGCGUCGUGGUGAUCAGCAGCUCGGAAGACUCAGAUGCUGAAAACCCGCGUGCGGAGCCCACUGAGACCGCCGUCCUGCCUCCUUCCUCAUCCAUCCAACCCCCGCCGAGAGCUCGCCGAGCGUCCCACUCCCUCCGGGCCUCUCGUCUGUCCCAUGGCACAUGCCGCCCCUCGGCUUGGCCUCCCCACCAUCCUGCCGAGCAAGCUGCCAUCCCCGACGCUGAGAGUCCCAGCCAGCCUGCCGGUCACCAGGAGCAAGCUGCCGUCCACCGUGGGAUCAGCUUCCUGUCACGUGGGGCGCAAAGAGCCCUGCGCCCUCGCAGCACCUUUCACCUGCCCCUCAAAACGUAUGGUGCCCACAGGUGGCCUUGGCCUCCGUCCAUGGGUCAAGCCACCACCCCGGCCACCACUGGGCCUCCCAGCCAACCUGCCAAUCCCCAGGAGGAUCCCACCUGCCCCCAAAGGGCCAGCGGCCAACCCCACCUGGUGCAACUGGCUGCACGACCCCUUGACCCCUUCCCUGCUGUGUCCCAGUGGCUCAACAUCUUUCCCCUUCCUCACCCCCCUGGGAUCUCCCAGCGUAACACCUUUUAUAGGAGAAUAAUGCGGGGAGGCAGAGCAUCCCAAAUUCCUGGAGCAGGGGUCUCCCCUGGGGAUUCUGGCAGGGCCCCCAUGGAAAAUCCCCCAGUCCAGGUCCCCCCGGAGGCCUCUCCAAGUGCAUUCCUACCACUCCACCCUCUGGAGAGGCCACCCAUCAGCACAGACACCCCGCAGACAAGCCUCUGAGUGUCCCAAGCGCCUCCCUCCUCUGCAGCCCUGGAGCUUGGCAGGUUGGCAUCCCAAACGUCUUGUCACAGAAUGAAGCAGGGAAUGCAUGGCUCCAUGGACCUCUGAACAAAGAGGGUUAAGGCCUCCCCAGUCAGGAUAUUCUCGUUCCUCACAUCCUCAAGUCUCUUUGCCCAAGACAAGGAAGCUUCUCGCACCCUUUGCAACUCCCACAGCCCCAUUCUCCCGCCCCAAGCUUUCCCACUGGGCCUCUGCCAGGAUGUAAGCCCAUGAGGGCAGGGACUGUGUGGCUCCCAGGCCCUGGCAGGUGCAGCUGCUCAAUAAACACUUAUUGAACAAUUACCCUCGCA